rnacentral:rRNA from 1 species
ACUCCUACGGGAGGCAGCAGUGGGGGAAUAUUGCGCAAUGGACGAAAGUCUGACGCAGCGACGCCGCGUGGAGGAUGAAGGUUUUCGGAUCGUAAACUCCUGUCAAGAGGGAAGAAACCUAUUAUGAAUAAUACUCAUAGUAAUUGACGGUACCUCUAGAGGAAGCACCGGCUAAUUCAGUGCCAGCAGCCGCGGUAAUACUGAAGGUGCAAGCGUUAAUCGGAAUCACUGGGCGUAAAGCGCUCGUAGGUGGCUUUGUAAGUCAGGUGUGAAAGCCCACGGCUCAACCGUGGAAUUGCACUUGAUACUGCAUCGCUAGAGUAUAGGAGAGGGAAGUGGAAUUUCUGGUGUAGGAGUGAAAUCCGUAGAGAUCAGAAGGAACACCCGUGGCGAAGGCGACUUCCUGGACUAUUACUGACACUGAGGAGCGAAAGCGU